GACGAACGCUGGCGGCGUGCUUAACACAUGCAAGUCGAGCGGUAAGGCCCUUUCGGGGGUACGACGAGCGGCGAACGGGUGAGUAACACGUGGGUGACCUGCCCUUAGCUCUGGGAUAAGCCUGGGAAACUGGGUCUAAUACCGGAUAUGACUCCAUGACGCAUGUUGUGGGGUGGAAAGCCUUGUGCGGCUAGGGAUGGGCCCGCGGCCUAUCAGCUUGUUGGUGGGGUGAUGGCCUACCAAGGCGACGACGGGUAGCCGGCCUGAGAGGGCGACCGGCCACACUGGGACUGAGACACGGCCCAGACUCCUACGGGAGGCAGCAGUGGGGAAUCUUGCGCAAUGGGCGAAAGCCUGACGCAGCGACGCCGCGUGAGGGAU
rnacentral:rRNA from 1 species